rnacentral:snRNA from 1 species
GUGCUUGCUCUGGCAGCUCAUAUACUAAAGAUGAAACAAUACAAAGAUUAGCAUGGCCCUGUACAAGAAUAAUAGGCAAAUUAAUUCUUUAAAAAUGU